GCGGUGAAUCCCCCUAAGCGGCGGGGCGCUCAGUCAGGUUUUUGAAAUCCCAGUAAACACAAUGCAUGCGGGUCAGUUGGACUGGCUGACUCACCGGGAGGCACCCGGCACCGC
rnacentral:ncRNA from 1 species